rnacentral:rRNA from 1 species
UAAGGAAUCUUGGUCAAUGGGGGCAACCCUGAACCAGCCAUGCCGCGUGAUGGACGAAGGCCCUCUGGGUCGUAAACAUCUUUUCUGGGGGGAUAAUUGGUUGCUACAGGCAGCCUUGCAGGUAUCCCAGGAAUAAGCACCGGCUAACUACGUGCCAGCAGCCGCGGUAACACGUAGGGUGCAAGCGUUGUCCGGAUUUAUUGGGUUUAAAGGGUGCGCAGGCGGCUUAUUAAGUUCGUGGUGAAAACGUCCGGCUCAACCGGAUCUCCGCCAUGGAUACUGGUAGGCUUGAGUGUGUCUGAGGAAGUUAGAAUGCGUGGUGUAGCGGUGAAAUGCAUAGAUAUCACGCAGAAUACCGAUUGCGAAGGCAGGCUUCUGAGACAUGACUGACGCUGAGGCACGAAAGCGUGGGGAGCGAACAGGAUUAGAUACCCGUGUAGUCC